UCCCUCCUCCCCUCUCCCUGCUCGCUAUAAAAGGCCCCAGCCCUCGGCCCGCGCGCCCGAGCUCCCUCGCCGCCCGCCAUUGCCGCGCCGAGCUCGAUCCUCCGCCCCACCCCGUCCCAAAUCGGCCACCCCAGCAGCUCCCCACCUCCCACUGGUCCUUCCCGACCCGGUCUCGCCCUCCCUCCCUCGCCGGGGCUUGCCGGAGCCGAGCAGCACCGGCCACCGGAGCACUGCUCCGCCGCACCUCCUCCUCCGGCCGCCUCCGCCCCAACCGACGCCACCUGCAGGUAUGUCUUUUGAGGAUAUUAUUGCCGGCCUGAUUUGGCCAUGUUCUCUUCCUCCUAGUUGGUCCGUGGAAUGAGGUGCAUCCCCAACCAACAAUGACAACACCGAGUGAGGUCAUGUACAGGCUUCAUCGUGACCUCCUGUAUCAUCGAGUAGAAUUAUCGUUAUCUUUCCACUGCACUUUAAACUCUGAUGCACUUUGUUUUAUAAAUUCGAACUUGGUUUGUAAUAAUAAUUAACGUUGUACUCUGUGUUGUAAAAAUUGUGGAUUCUUGUAAUCUCUAGGCUCACCUUUGUAUGGAUUGUA